rnacentral:misc_RNA from 1 species
AAGACUAUAGACCUGCGGAGUACCUGCGGAGGGAUCAUUAACGAGUUUUGACGAUUAGUCAAAAUCUCCACCCUUUGUUUAUUUGAACUUGUUACUUUGGCGUUUCGAUUUUUUCAUAUAUAUAUAUGAAAAAAGCCAUUGAUUUUUUUUAUAAAAGUGAAUGUGUAUUCGCCAAAGAUUUUUUCUUUAACGCUUAAUUAUUUUUAUAUCUGAUUUUUUAUACAAAAAAAAGUAAAAACU